AUGGAGCUAUUAUCGCAUGUAUCCUUUGUCGAGCUGUCAGUAACACUAUGGGCAAUUUGGUGGGCUCGACGUCAAGCUAUCCAUGAGGGAAUUUUCCAAAGCCCUUACUCCACCCAUGACUUCGUUCAGAGAUUUAUAAGCGAGCUUCAGAGCUUGGAAGCCCGCAAGCCGAUAGACAACACAGGGGUAACAAGGCAACCAAACGCUGCGCCUAGAGCACGGCCGAAGGCGCCGCCAGCGGGCUUUGCCAAGAUUCAUGUUGACGCCGGUGUGGCACGGUUCAACAGGGGUGGUUCAGCAGCAGCUAUAUGUAGAGAUGGUGAAGGAAACUACUUGGGCAGCUCUGCCUUGGUGAUUCCAGAGGUCGCGGAUGCAGCAAUAUUGGAAGCUAUUGCCUGUCGGGAGGCGCUGUCUUUGGCCGAAGACCUGCAGAUUCGAGAUUUUGUCAUAGCGUCAGACUCCAAGCAGGUGAUCAAUGAUAUCAACAAGGAUUAUAAGGGCAAGUAUGGAGCGAUCAUAUCAGAAAUAAGCUCACGAGCUUCUGUCUUUAAUUGUAUCUUCGUUUUCGAAGGCCGAGCGUUGAAUAGCGAUGCUCAUAAUAUAGCUAGAUCUUCUCUUACUCUUCAGCAGGGGCGCCAUAUUUGGCUUGUUCACCCCCAUGCAAAUUGUAUCCCACAAACUGUGGUUUAUGAUCAAUAA
rnacentral:rRNA from 1 species